ensembl:lincRNA
CAAGGCACUUGGUUCCCAUCAAAUGUCCCCACUCAGUGCCCAAUCACAUGUGUCUUUAGUGUUCAUUUUCUCUUCCUAAAAAGGAACCAAGCAUGGUAUCUGCCUCCUCUCCCCAACAAAGGGCUUAGGUGGAAUUAAAAGGGAUUAUGUUUGGAGAGGAAAACUAGCCUUUAAUCACCAACAGAAGGACACACCAGCCUGAAGGUGCAUGUCCAUCGCUAACCCGAAACCUGACCCUGACCUGUUAGCCUCUGCUCCACGCCAUCCCCUUGUCCUUGGGUGGUCACCAGCACGGGCUUCGCCGGACAGAUACGACUAUUGCUCUGGAAGAACUGGACCCUGCGGAAAAGGCAAAAGGUAUUUUAAUCACAGCAGCAAAAAAGCUGAUCAAAACAUACUGCAAACAUCAUCGUGAAGCUUUAAAGUCUAUACUUUCAGCUUGAGACUCCUUGAGGCCUCUGAACAGAAGAGCCUACCCAUCCAGAGAGAUCCUAUGGUGCUGUGUGGUGGGAUCAGGAAACCUUGGAUACCACUUUUCAAGAAUGUAUCGAGAUUUUCAAGAACUCCUCAUGAAUGCACCAGAAAGCCAGCACUUUGGCCAGGUUUGGACAGAGCUCCGCACCUCGUCCCAGCUCAUGGACACCCUGCGGACUCACCCUGAGAGAAUUGUAGGACGAGGAAUACGCAUUUGGAAUAUCCUGAAAGAUGAAGAGGCGCUGACCCUAUUUCUCAUUAAAAACAUUGGCCUGUCCAGCUCAUUUGUCUACCUGCUGGUCAACUCCCGAGUCCAUGUGGAGGAGUUUGCUCACAGAGUCCCAGACUUGGUGCUAAAGGACAUCGCCUGCAAUGAAGCCCUCCUGGAGUGCUUCAUCAUCUUUGGCCAGAGACAUGGGGCGUGGGCUGUGCGUGACGCCCUGUGUUCCCUCUCCCAGGGGACCCUACAGUGGAUAGAAGACACUCUGUAUGCCAAUGUGGACUUCUUCAAGCUCUUCCAUGUGAUAAGCGAAGGGUGACUCCUGGGACAGGCAGCAUCUGGGACUCAUGAAUUGACACUGGUGGAGGUGUGAACCUAGUAUUCAGAACAAGCCUGGAGGAAGCUCCAGGCUCCAGGGGCCCAAGAAAUCUUGACCAAUAUGAUUUUUAGAACAUCGGCCUAGUGACCCAAGAGUCAUAGGAGCUUCAGCAUUAGGUAUUGUGACAGGUGUGUGUUUAUUCCAAAUGUGGGCUGAGUGCUCCCCAACACCUGUAGCAAUGUGGUUAAGAAAGAAGCCAGGUUUGGUGUUGCACACCUGUAAUCUCAGCGGCUCAGGAGACUGAGACAGGAAGAUCACCAGUUCAAAGCCAGCCUUAGCAACAUAGUGAGGCUCUAAGCAACUUAACAAGAUCCUGUCUUGGCUGGAGAUGUGGCUCAGUGGUUAAGCAUCCCGAGGUUCAAUCUCUGGUACAAAAAAAAAAAAGGAAAGAAGAAGGCCUGGUUUGACUUCUGUGAUUGUGGCAAGAUAUUGAAAUUUUCCGAGCCUCAUUAUUUCUCUAUAUAAGUACAAUACUUAAUAAAUUCAUUUAAAAAGAUACAGACAAAAAAAACUAUAUGUAAGGCAUUUAAUAAAUUUUAAUAAAUGAGGACUUCAUGCUCUUUCUUCUGGACCUGGUCUUGACCCACAUUCCCCCACCAAUGGCUGUUUCUAAGAAAACAACAGAAAUUUUCUUGUCUCACAGCUCUGAUCUAGCUCAAUCUUCUGUACUAGAAUGGCAUCCCAGAGAUGUAUUUCCUUCUUUGCUAGAAGGAUAAAAUAAGAGGGAAUAUUAUAAAGGAGGGGCUGUGCAGGAACUGUCAGGCUACAGGGUGCUUGAAAAGCAUCACAGAAGUUGGUGAAAGAGGCAGAGCUUCCUUUGGCCCAUUAAAAAGCAGAAUAACGUUUGAACCCAGAAGAAUUAAUUGUGCUGAUUACAUUUCUUUGGGGACCUAUAAAUAGUUGUUUACUUUUUCCACACAAUCAUCAUCACUAGGUGGAUAUUAUUUGCAUUCUUUAGCUGCCUUAGGCCUCAGGUCCCUGUGGGCCACCCUUUCACCAACACUCAGAAUGCUUUGGAGACAAAAUGUAGGAUUUCUAGCACUAAAUUGUGUUUUUUCUUUUGCCUAUAUUUUAAUUUAGGGAACUGUGUUGUGAGGAAUGUCAGUUCUAAGAAUUGAUUAAAGAAUUUUAUUUUGUCUACUUUUUGCUUGCUCUCUCAAGUCUCCAGAAAACCCACUCUCAGCUUGUCUUUAAGGCUUGGAAAAAACGAAACAAAAUAAAACAAGACCCCACAGUUUCUGGAAGAGUUCACUCUGAAUCCCUUUGAAAGUGGGCUUUCCCUUGGAAGCUACUCUACACAUUUCCCUAACUCAUCAGGUAGGGAAGAGGGGUCAGAAACUGGGGAUGCCCUCACUGCUCAGGGUCUGGGCCUCAGAAAAGGUCUCUAGGCUUUCUUUGGUGCAGAAAGAAUAAAAAGCAAUGUGGUCCAAACAUCUCCGUCCAGUUUCAAAAGGAAACUGAUUUUAGAUUCACUCUUUGGUUUGUUUAAUAAUUAGAUAGAAGAGUAAGAUGACAAAGGUGCCUUAUUCUGGGCAAUUUUACCCAGACAGCCAGGAGACAGUGCCUGUGUUGCAGAGCCAAGACCUGUGUGCUUCCAUGGAACAGAAUGAAGGGUACCAGUAUGCUGGGGUAAGCAGGGGCCUGGUUGCCUAGGUGCCCAGUUCUUUGCAAUAUUCUUGUCAGUAAGAGGGGGACCAGGUCAUGCUUCUCUUCUUGAAGCACCUUGGCUACUGAUAAAUUUACUUCCUGGGACAUGACCAUCAAUUCUGGGAGACAAUCCUGAGUGUAGCAGAAUAAAGGGGGCACCUGGGCAAAAUUUUCCAUUAAUGACUGGAAUUUGUGUUGGUCAGAUUGCCAUUACUAUUACAAAUACCUGAAAAAAAACAACUUAUAAAGAGAAAAGGUUUAUUUUGUCUCACAUUUUUUGGAGGUUCCAGGCCAUGUUUAGUUGGCCCCAUUGCUUUUGGACUUGUGGUAAGGUUGCACAUCAUGGCAGAAACAUGUGUAGAGCAAAACUGCUCACCUAUGGCCAAUAAGCAAAUGAGAGAGGGAGGUGGAGAGAAUGGAGUGGGGUCCUGCUCUCUCCUCCCAAGGACCCAAAGACCUCCCACUAGGCCCCACCUCUUAAAGGCCCCACCACCUCCCAGUAGCACUGGGGACCAAGCAUUUAACACAUACACCUUUGGGAAACACUCAAGAUGUAAACUGCAGUAAACCCCCAAGAGACCAUUGAC